AUAAAAGACUUUGCACUUGGAAACUUCUGCCUAUAUAUAUAGGUAAUAAGUGGAUGCCAUAAAUACGGUUAUUAUACUAAAAUACAGAUAACAAGAUAAGCAAAUGCGUUUUAUCUCGUCGAUUCUUGUGAUAAUCUGGAGAAAAGCUUCCCCAGUGACGUCGAGAGGAGUCUACUGCAUGACAACUCAGCCUAGCAGUGUUGCUUAUUACGUUGCCGGUGGUGAAAGUCUUCGGUGUGGUCCGGGAUUUGAGUUUUGCUAUGUUCCCGGAUUAUUUUUAGACGGUUUACGUUCACUUUUGUUCGAACCUGAGUCCAUAAGAUGGCGAUGGUCAGCAGACGAUGGCACCAGAGGGAACAUCAUUUGGGAUUGUUUUCUGACCAGCAAAGGGAAGAUGGCAGACUUCAGAGAGACAUUGAGAGUGGGGAGACACUGGGCAACCCCGUGGUUAUUCUUAGGAAAGUGUCUCCCAAAAACCGUAGUAUAAAUGCUGAUCGCCAUUCCAUGUAUGAGAGAAGGAUCCCAACGCCUCUCGUUCAAGAGUACCGUCUCCACAGACAUUUCCGAAUCAAGGAAGCUUUGCGUUUGGCUGAGCUGUACAGUCACGUCACCAAAGGCCCGGAAAACUUUGGCAAGAAGGGCAGGGGAAGCGCGAAAAAAACGAAAAAAAUUCCUCUGGCUUCUGCGGGAGCGUCCAGGAAUAAUAACCCCAAUUCACUGCCGGGACCCGAAGAGGAGGAGGAGGAGGAGGGGGACUUCGAUAGACGGCAGCGUCAAAAACCCGACGGCGAGAUCCUGGUCAACAUUUGGGAGGAAUUCAGAUACGGGUCUUCGGUGCUGAAUGAGAAAAGCUCCACCCCAAUCACUCACGGAGGCUGCGAAUGGGCCAGGCCGUUCUUGGCCAGUCUGCUGCCGAAGCCUGUCGUCGAUGUCAUCUUGUACGUUCUGUUCUUCUCCGUGUAUUUCGUGUCGUGCUGCCUCUAUAACGACUACCUUGAGUUAGGGUGCUAUUUGCUUUACGACCUGCAUCUGAGGAUACACGAAAAUGCCGAGAAACAUUACGUUAAAGUGAAGUUCAUAGGGUCGCCGUUUCAGGGUCCAAUGUACUGCAUUAUCCGGAUGGUGUGCCAACACUGUCACCACUACGAGAGUAACAAAGUCGUCCUCAGACUAAUGAAGAAGAUGAAGAGAGAUGUCGUUGAAGCUUAUUCGUCCAAGUGAAAUGCAAAUCUACGUGUAUAGUUUACCUGAUAUUCAUAUACAAACGAACAGAUAUUUAUGUAUGUAUAACUGAUGAAGAGAGUUUCAAUUCAGUGGUUUUGUUAAGAUUAGUCAUGGAGGUUUUAUUAAUGUUUGACGAUGCUAUAAACCCUUUUGUUUUAUAAAUUGAAAAAAAAUUUAUAAA